UGAUGGUGACGUAAAAUCUCACCAGAGUAACCAUUGGAGGGCAAGUCUGGUGCCAGCAGCCGCGGUAAUUCCAGCUCCAAUAGCGUAUAUUAAACUUGUUGCAGUUAAAAAGCUCGUAGUUGAAUUUCUGCGUUGCCCGACUCGGCUACUUGCCUUGUCUGGUUUCGCUUUUGGGGUUUUCCCCUUUUUACUUUGAGAAAAUUAGAGUGUUUCAAGCAGACUUGUGUCUUGAGAUACUUCACCAUGGAAUAAUAAAGUAGGACUUUGGUUCUAUUUUGUUGGUUUGUGAA
rnacentral:rRNA from 1 species